rnacentral:rRNA from 1 species
UACGUAGGGUGCGAGCGUUAAUCGGAAUUACUGGGCGUAAAGGGUGCGUAGGCGGUUUGAUAAGUCUGAUGUGAAAUCCCCGGGCUUAACCUGGGAAUGGCAUUUGGGACUGCAAGGCUCGAGUGCGGCAGAGGAGACUGGAAUUCCUGGUGUAGCAGUGAAAUGCGUAGAUAUCAGGAGGAACACCGAUGGCGAAGGCAGGUCUCUGGGCUGACACUGACGCUCAUGCACGAAAGCGUGGGGAGCAAACAGG